rnacentral:rRNA from 1 species
UGGGGAAUUUUGGACAAUGGGGGCAACCCUGAUCCAGCAAUGCCGCGUGAGUGAAGAAGGCCUUCGGGUUGUAAAGCUCUUUUGUCAGGGAAGAAACGGUGUUUCCUAAUACGGAAUGCUAAUGACGGUACCUGAAGAAUAAGCACCGGCUAACUACGUGC